rnacentral:rRNA from 1 species
GACGGGGGGGGCAAGUGUUCUUCGGAAUGACUGGGCGUAAAGGGCACGUAGGCGGUGAAUCGGGUUGAAAGUGAAAGUCGCCAAAAAGUGGCGGAAUGCUCUCGAAACCAAUUCACUUGAGUGAGACAGAGGAGAGUGGAAUUUCGUGUGUAGGGGUGAAAUCGUAGAUCUACGAAGGAACGCCAAAAGCGAAGGACAGCUCUCUGGGUCCCUACCGACGCUGGGGUGCGAAAGCUGGGGAGCGAACAGG